rnacentral:rRNA from 1 species
CAGGCCUAACACAUGCAAGUCGAACGGCAGCACAGUAAGAGCUUGCUCUUACGGGUGGCGAGUGGCGGACGGGUGAGGAAUACAUCGGAAUCUACUUUUUCGUGGGGGAUAACGUAGGGAAACUUACGCUAAUACCGCAUACGACCUACGGGUGAAAGCAGGGGACCUUCGGGCCUUGCGCGAUUGAAUGAGCCGAUGUCGGAUUAGCUAGUUGGCGGGGUAAAGGCCCACCAAGGCGACGAUCCGUAGCUGGUCUGAGAGGAUGAUCAGCCACACUGGAACUGAGACACGGUCCAGACUCCUACGGGAGGCAGCAGUGGGGAAUAUUGGACAAUGGGCGCAAGCCUGAUCCAGCCAUACCGCGUGGGUGAAGAAGGCCUUCGGGUUGUAAAGCCCUUUUGUUGGGAAAGAAAUCCAGCCGGCUAAUACCUGGUUGGGAUGACGGUACACAAAGAAUAAGCACCGGCUAACUUCGUGCCAGCAGCCGCGGUAAU